UACGUAGGUGGCAAGCGUUGUCCGGAAUUAUUGGGCGUAAAGCGCGCGCAGGCGGUCCUUUAAGUCUGAUGUGAAAGCCCACGGCUCAACCGUGGAGGGUCAUUGGAAACUGGGGGACUUGAGUACAGAAGAGGAAAGCGGAAUUCCACGUGUAGCGGUGAAAUGCGUAGAGAUGUGGAGGAACACCAGUGGCGAAGGCGGCUUUCUGGUCUGUAACUGACGCUGAGGCACGGAGGCGUGGGGAGCGAACGGG
rnacentral:misc_RNA from 1 species